rnacentral:rRNA from 1 species
UACGGGGGGAGCAAGCGUUGUUCGGAUUCAUUGGGCGUAAAGGGUGCGUAGGCGGCGCGGUAAGUCGGGUGUGAAAUCUCGGGGCUUAACUCCGAAACUGCAUUCGAUACUGGCGUGCUUGAGGACUGGAGAGGAGACUGGAAUUCAUGGUGUAGCAGUGAAAUGCGUAGAGAUCAUGAGGAAGACCAGUGGCGAAGGCGGGUCUCUGGACAGUUCCUGACACUGAGGCACGAAGGCCAGGGGAGCAAACGGG